UACGGAGGGGGCUAGCGUUGUUCGGAAUUACUGGGCGUAAAGGGCGCGUAGGCGGCGCGAUAAGUUGGGCGUGAAAGGCCCGGGCUCAACCCGGGGACUGCGCUUGAUACUGUCGCGCUGUGAGUCCGGGAGAGGAUGGCGGAAUUCCCAGUGUAGAGAUGAAAUUCGUAGAUAUUGGGAAGAACACCGGUGGCGAAGGCGGCCACCUGGACCGGCACUGACGCUGAGGCGCGAAAGCGUGGGGAGCAAACAGG
rnacentral:rRNA from 1 species